AGGACGAACGCUGGCGGCGUGCUUAACACAUGCAAGUCGAGCGGUAAGGCCUUUCGGGGUACACGAGCGGCGAACGGGUGAGUAACACGUGGGUGAUCUGCCCUGCACUCUGGGAUAAGCCUGGGAAACUGGGUCUAAUACCGGAUAUGACCUGCUCUCGCAUGGGGGGUGGGUGGAAAGAUUUAUCGGUGCAGGAUGGGCCCGCGGCCUAUCAGCUUGUUGGUGGGGUAAUGGCCUACCAAGGCGACGACGGGUAGCCGACCUGAGAGGGUGACCGGCCACACUGGGACUGAGACACGGCCCAGACUCCUACGGGAGGCAGCAGUGGGAAUAUUGCACAAUGGGCAAAGCCUGAUGCAGCGACGCCGCGUGAGGAUGAAGGCCUUCGGGUUGUAAACCUCUUUCAGCAGGACGAAGCGCAAGUGACGGUACCUGCAGAAGAAGCACCGGCUAACUACGUGCCAGCAGCCGC
rnacentral:rRNA from 1 species